AUUGUAGCUAGACUGUACAAAGUAUAUCAAGAUAUGCCAAAUAUUGAGCUUAACUUCACCUGUUUGAGAGACGUGUUGUGAACCACUUGUCAUGGGAUAACCAAAAUUAAACCUGGAAUCGCAGAAGAAACAAAUUUUUUGAAGAAAUUGGAUGUACUUUUUUAAAAUUUUUCAUUCAACUAAAACUUUGUUAACUGUUUCUUGGUUGUGGUCUUCUCUAAAUUGUAAUCUUUGGCAUUCACUUCCAAAGUAUCCACCACUAAACUUCAUAACAUUUAUUGUGUCUCUUCAUCAUUAAACUUUGAUGAAUUUACAGAGUGUCUUUUGAAAUUAUGUUCUUGAGAAAGCCAGGGGAUUGGACGGUGUCAUGGAAAUGUCAAAGAAAAAGUGACACCUGAGAGAAAAUUUGAAAGAUGAAAGGUGCACAUCAUGGAGACAAUCUGACUGGUACAGAGAAAUGAAGAGACAACAUUUUCUUUCCAAAUCUGAGUGGAGAUGAAGAUUCCUGAAACAACAAUCAAAAGGAACUUUGGACUCUGACUGAGGACACAUCCAGCAAUGGCAAAGCACUCUAGCCACUGCCCAGACCCAUGGAAACUUCAGGAAGAGGCAGUUUAGUGCUUCUGGUAGUUGUCUAAUCAAGAUUAGGACUCUUAUUUAUCAUCUUCCUCUGGCAUUUUUGCACCAGUCUUCAGGUUUUAGCAUAGUAAAUAUGUUCCAGUCUGUGAAAUCUCUCUGUUUUAUUCCAAAUAAAUAAAAAAGCAUAAUAGUAGAAAUUAAAA
rnacentral:lncRNA from 1 species